GACGAACGCUGGCGGCGUGCUUAACACAUGCAAGUCGAACGGAAAGGCCCUGCUUUUGUGGGGUGCUCGAGUGGCGAACGGGUGAGUAACACGUGAGUAACCUGCCCUUGACUUUGGGAUAACUUCAGGAAACUGGGGCUAAUACCGGAUAGGAGCUCCUGCUGCAUGGUGGGGGUUGGAAAGUUUCGGCGGUUGGGGAUGGACUCGCGGCUUAUCAGCCUGUUGGUGGGGUAGUGGCUUACCAAGGCUUUGACGUGUAGCCGGCCUGAGAGGGUGACCGGCCACAUUGGGACUGAGAUACGGCCCAGACUCCUACGGGAGGCAGCAGUGGGGAAUAUUGCACAAUGGGCGGAAGCCUGAUGCAGCAACGCCGCGUGCGGGAUGACGGCCUUCGGGUUGUAAACCGCUUUCGCCUGUGACGAAGCGUGAGUGACGGUAAUGGGUAAAGAAGCACCGGCUAACUACGUG
rnacentral:rRNA from 1 species